rnacentral:rRNA from 1 species
GACGAACCGUGCGAACGUUGUUCGGAUUCACUGGGCAUAAAGGGCGCGUAGGCGGACGGUCAAGUCGGGGGUGAAAUCUUUCAGCUUAACUGGAAAAGUGCCUCCGAUACUGACUGUCUCGAGGGAGGUAGGGGCAUGUGGAACUUCCGGUGGAGCGGUGAAAUGCGUAGAUAUCGGAAGGAACGCCGGUGGCGAGAGCGACGUGCUGGACCUCUUCUGACGCUGAGGCGCGAAAGCUAGGGGAGCAAACGGG